AUGGAUUUUGACAACAACAAAAAAUGUACAUACCUGUGCUAUGAACCCAUGACCAAGCAACGUUCCAGAGACGACAGAAAGGUACGUACAUCGGGCCAAAAUUAUUCUUGUUCAUUAUUGUUCACAUACAACUGUCAUUACAUGAAUAUUUGCAUUUUAGAAUUGUUUGGUUUUAAACUGUACUGUGUAAAUUAAAACAAAACAAAUAUAUAGAGGACAUAGAUUGAUUUACUUUAAUUAACUGCCAAUGCCACGUAAAACAAAAUGUGAAUGACGAACUAUCAUCUCAUCUCAUAAUGGUCAUAAUUGAAAACGACGGUCUGCUGUAUUUAUAUUUAUAUUUUUUUUUUUUCCACCCUGAGAGGAAAUGAACUACGCCUAUACUCAUGUAUUCAUGCUAAUAACAAAAUGUCGAAAUAGGCGUAUAUAUAUUGCAGUUAUUUCGCUUAGACCACAAGUCGCUUAGACCACAUGUCGCUUAGACCACACAGCUUAUAGUAAGCUACAUUACAAAUAGCACCAUAUUCCUUUUAUAGUUCACCACUUCUGACCAAAAGUAGUGCACUAUAUAGGGAAUAGGGUGCUAUAAGGCUCUGGUCUAAAGUAGUGCACUAUAUAGGGAAUAGGGUGCUAUAAGGCUCUGGUCUAAAGUAGUGCACUAUAUAGGGAAUAGGGUGCCAUAAGGCUCUGGUCUAAAGUAGUGCACUAUAUAUAGGGAAUAGGGUUCCAUAGGGCUCUGGUCAAAGUAGUGCACUAUAUAGGGAAUAGGGUGCCAUAGGGCUCUGGUCUAAAGUAGUGCACUAUGUAGGGAAUAGGGUUCCAUAGGGCUCUGGUCAAAGUAGUGCACUAUAUAGGGAAUAGGGUUCCAUAGGGCUCUGGUCUAAAGUAGUGCACUAUAUAGGGAAUAGCACACCAUGUUAACUCAGUCUGUUUCUAAAGUAGUUCACAGUCAUCUGCUGUGGUCAAGGCUAUCUCUAGUUCUCUACACCACACCGCCGUGUACAACGCAGCCAAUAUCUGCUUUAUAGGCUAUAUAUAGUACCAUUUUUCUGAAUGCAUGAGAAGUUACCAAGGACAGGAUGCUCUCCGACUUUCAAGUUUCAAACUUUAUUUGCCACCCGCACAGGAUACAGCAGGUGUAAAACAGCAGAGUGAAAGUCUUACCUUGAGACCUCUUGUAAUAUGAUAUACUAAUAG
rnacentral:lncRNA from 1 species